rnacentral:rRNA from 1 species
UAGGGAAUCUUCCACAAUGGACGCAAGUCUGAUGGAGCAACGCCGCGUGAGUGAAGAAGGUCUUCGGAUCGUAAACUCUGUUGUUAGAGAAGAACACGAGUGAGGGUAACUGUUCAUUCGAUGACGGUAUCUAACCAGCAAGUCACGGCUAACUACGUGCCAG